AGAGUUUGAUCCUGGCUCAGAUUGAACGCUGGCGGCAGGCCUAACACAUGCAAGUCGAACGGUAACAGAAAGCAGCUUGCUGCUUUGCUGACGAGUGGCGGACGGGUAAGUAAUGUCUGGGAAACUGCCUGAUGGAGGGGGAUAACUACUGGAAACGGUAGCUAAUACCGCAUAACGUCGCAAGACCAAAGUGGGGGACCUUCGGGCCUCAUGCCAUCAGAUGUGCCCAGAUGGGAUUAGCUAGUAGGUGGGGUAACGGCUCACCUAGGCGACGAUCCCUAGCUGGUCUGAGAGGAUGACCAGCCACACUGGAACUGAGACACGGUCCAGACUCCUACGGGAGGCAGCAGUGGGGAAUAUUGCACAAUGGGCGCAAGCCUGAUGCAGCCAUGCCGCGUGUGUGAAGAAGGCCUUCGGGUUGUAAAGCACUUUCAGCGGGGAGGAAGGCGGUGAGGUUAAUAACCUCAUCGAUUGACGUUACCCGCAGAAGAAGCACCGGCUAACUCCGUGCCAGCAGCCGCGGUAAUACGGAGGGUGCAAGCGUUAAUCGGAAUUACUGGGCGUAAAGCGCACGCAGGCGGUCUGUCAAGUCGGAUGUGAAAUCCCCGGGCUCAACCUGGGAACUGCAUUCGAAACUGGCAGGCUAGAGUCUUGUAGAGGGGGGUAGAAUUCCAGGUGUAGCGGUGAAAUGCGUAGAGAUCUGGAGGAAUACCGGUGGCGAAGGCGGCCCCCUGGACAAAGACUGACGCUCAGGUGCGAAAGCGUGGGGAGCAAACAGGAUUAGAUACCCUGGUAGUCCACGCCGUAAACGAUGUCGAUUUGGAGGUUGUGCCCUUGAGGCGUGGCUUCCGGAGCUAACGCGUUAAAUCGACCGCCUGGGGAGUACGGCCGCAAGGUUAAAACUCAAAUGAAUUGACGGGGGCCCGCACAAGCGGUGGAGCAUGUGGUUUAAUUCGAUGCAACGCGAAGAACCUUACCUGGUCUUGACAUCCACAGAACUUAGCAGAGAUGCUUUGGUGCCUUCGGGAACUGUGAGACAGGUGCUGCAUGGCUGUAGUCAGCUCGUGUCGUGAGAUGUUGGGUUAAGUCCCGCAACGAGCGCAACCCUUGCCUUUAGUUGCCAGCAUUAAGUUGGGCACUCUAGAGGGACUGCCAGGGAUAACCUGGAGGAAGGUGGGGAUGACGUCAAAUCAUCAUGCCCCUUAUGCUUAGGGCUACACACGUGCUACAAUGGGUGGUACAGAGGGCAGCCAAGUCGUGAGGCGGAGCUAAUCCCUUAAAGCCAUUCUCAGUUCGGAUUGUAGGCUGAAACUCGCCUACAUGAAGCUGGAGUUACUAGUAAUCGCAGAUCAGAAUGCUGCGGUGAAUGCGUUCCCGGGUCUUGCACACACCGCCCGUCA
rnacentral:rRNA from 1 species